rnacentral:rRNA from 1 species
AUGAACGCUGGCGGCGUGCCUAAUACAUGCAAGUCGAGCGAACGGACGAGAAGCUUGCUUCUCUGAUGUUAGCGGCGGACGGGUGAGUAACACGUGGAUAACCUACCUAUAAGACUGGGAUAACUUCGGGAAACCGGAGCUAAUACCGGAUAAUAUUUUGAACCGCAUGGUUCAAAAGUGAAAGACGGUCUUGCUGUCACUUAUAGAUGGAUCCGCGCUGCAUUAGCUAGUUGGUAAGGUAACGGCUUACCAAGGCAACGAUGCAUAGCCGACCUGAGAGGGUGAUCGGCCACACUGGAACUGAGACACGGUCCAGACUCCUACGGGAGGCAGCAGUAGGGAAUCUUCCGCAAUGGGCGAAAGCCUGACGGAGCAACGCCGCGUGAGUGACGAAGGUCUUCGGAUCGUAAAACUCUGUUAUUAGGGAAGAACAUAUGUGUAAGUAACUGUGCACAUCUUGACGGUACCUAAUCAGAAAGCCACGGCUAACUACGUG